rnacentral:rRNA from 1 species
UACAGAGGUCUCAAGCGUUGUUCGGAUUCAUUGGGCGUAAAGGGUGCGUAGGUGGCGCCGUAAGUCAGGUGUGAAAUUUCGGAGCUUAACUCCGAAACUGCAUUUGAUACUGCGGUGCUUGAGGACUGGAGAGGAGACUGGAAUUCAUGGUGUAGCAGUGAAAUGCGUAGAGAUCAUGAGGAAGACCAGUGGCGAAGGCGGGUCUCUGGACAGUUCCUGACACUGAGGCACGAAGGCCAGGGGAGCAAACGGG